UACAGGGGGUGCAAACGUUGCUCGGAAUCAUUGGGCGUAAAGCGCACGUAGGCGGUCUGUUAUGUCGGAUGUGAAAGCCCUUGGCUUAACUGAGGAAGUGCAUCCGAAACUGGCAGGCUAGAGUACUAAAGAGGGUCGCGGAAUUCCCGGUGUAGAGGUGAAAUUCGUAGUUAUCGGGAGGAACACCGGUGGCGAAGGCGACGACCUGGGUAGAUACUGACGCUGAGGUGCGAAAGCGUGGGGAGCAAACAGG
rnacentral:rRNA from 1 species